CCUCCGCGCAAAAACUGCCCGGGCAGAGCAGUUUGACAAAUGAAAAGUGGAGGGGCUUAAGUGGAUAUUGUUACAAUAGAGGGUAUAGGGGACCAUUCCUCUCUCCUUCUCCCUCAUUUUCCUCCCACUUACACACUCUCUCUCUCCCUCUCUCUCUCCAGAAUGAAAAAAAGAAGGAGAAGGAGAAGAAUGAGAGGAAGAAGAAGAAGGAAUGAAAGGUGAAGAAGAAGAAGGAGAUCAGGGAGAAGGCCUUGGAC
rnacentral:lncRNA from 1 species